rnacentral:rRNA from 1 species
UACCGCGGUUAUACGAGAGACCCAAGUUGACAGGCUCCGGCGUAAAGCGUGGUUAAGGAAUAACAAACACUAAAGCCGAACGCUUACUAGGCUGUUAUACGCUUACGAAGGUAAGAAGCACACCCACGAAGGUGGCUUUAUUUCCCCUGAACCCACGAAAGCCAAGACA